rnacentral:rRNA from 1 species
UACGAAGGGGGCUAGCGUUGCUCGGAAUGACUGGGCGUAAAGGGCGCGUAGGCGGUUUGGUUUGUUAGGCGUGAAAUUCCUGGGCUUAACCUGGGGGCUGCACUUAAUACGGCCAGGCUUGAGUGUGGAAGAGGGUCGUGGAAUUCCCAGUGUAGAGGUGAAAUUCGUAGAUAUUGGGAAGAACACCGGUGGCGAAGGCGGCGACCUGGUCCAUUACUGACGCUGAGGCGCGAAAGCGUGGGGAGCAAACAGG